UGUAAUCCCCAAGUAUAACUAGGCCUCCAAUCAACAUAUAUCCCCCUGGAAAGCUGUCAGGAGGAAUGAAGGAUGGAGUCACAUUAGUAGGAAGUAGAGUGUCUUUGUGCAUAAGAGCUGUCUUGCUGCUUCAAAGACUGAAUGCUGUCUGCUGCCCUGAAGGUGACUGCAUGCAGCUUGGUUGGGCUGGCAUCUCGUUAUCCCAAGCAGGGAGGUUUGAAGUUGUGCUCUCCUGGUGAGAUGAAAGAGGGUACCCAGCAGUCUUUUCCCCGUUUGCUCUCAAGACAGAGGCUUCACCUUUCUGUCCACCAGCCAGGAAGACACUGGUCUUCAGGAUCCAAGUGGACCCAGUUGCCAUGUCAGCAGAUUAGUGCCUACAAAAGAGCUGCAAACACCGGGCAGAAAUUCAGCAUCCCGUCUCUCAGGCAUGUGAGCUGAAUCCUAAGGACUUUCAUUUGUCCUUCAUCCCACGUGGGAAAAGUCAGCCUGAGCCCAUCUUCCUCAGGCUCUUAGAUCUGGGAAGGCAGUGAGCGAGGCUCUGCCCUGCUGCAGGCUGUUUUGUGUGUGAGGGAGCGAUACCACGCCGUGACAAAUUGCAGAAACCAUAGGAAAUUUGUCGGGCUCUCUACUACUGGCUCAGCAGCAUCAGAAUUGCUUUCACUGUCUGGUAAUUAGGCAAAACGUAGCCUUGUUUUCCUCCUUUGCAACCUCGUAGUGGCUGGUGCAUCAAAGCAAGGGCACAUUGCCUGGCACAAGGAGCUCUCACCCUCAAGCAGUUUCAUAUCCAGAGGGCUGGAUUCAGCCGAGGGAAAUCAGAUCUGUAAAAAGUGUCCUGUUAGCUCCUUUAUGGGUACAGUGGAUCGUUGCAGUUGCAAUUCUUGUGCAGGGUACAUUUUGAUAUAUCCGCAGAAGUUUUGGGAGGAGAAAUCCUGAUAGCAGAAGGUUGGGUAGAGGCUUCAAAAGUUGCCUUCAGAAGUUGACCUAACGCUGCUAAUUGCCACGCCUGCUUUAACUAACAUAGACUUCACCAGGAGCAUCUACCCCAAGGGUAAGUCCUGAACGUAACUGUGGUGCUUGCUCCAGAGCUCUGUGUUCAUGCAGAGAAAAGACUUCAUAGCUGCCUAUUUACUAAGAUGGUACGGGAGGGACAUCUGAAGAAACAGAUGCAGGCUCUCUUCUCCAAAGAGAAAAUGGGAUGAAGAACAAAAAUGACCUCAACGACUGUGGGAAAAUCAUAGGAACCUAUCUUGGAGACAGAAAGGAGAAAUAUAUACGCGUAGAUAAGGGCUGUGUGCAAAAGUUGAGUACUGUUCUUCGGGGAAUUUCAGUGCAUCAAAGGAAUGUGAUAUCAGACCUGGAUUAACAUCAGAAGAAAGGUUUUCUGAGGAAAAGAAGAAAGAGGGUGUGAGAGAUUUAUCUGGACAGAAGGUAUGAUGGACUCUCUGGUGUUAAAUUUUGAGGUGCUUUCUGGCUUUUCCCUGCUUUGCUAACCAAGCUCAAAUAAAGAGCGAACUCCUUCUGCUCGGAUGUUUUUGAGUGCAGGAGAGAUGGCUAGCAGGCUUUGUGGUGGGGCCAGGAAAUGGGGCAAUAAUUUAUUGAGUGUAUGUGCUCAAUUUUCUAUUACAAGCAUAGGUUGAAGCCUUUUCUUUCCUCAUGGCAAAAGAAAACCCAUUAAAGUCUGCCCACAGUCUGACAUGCUGUGCUGUCCUGCUGAGAAGGACUAAGUUGAACCCAGAAGUGGGAGAUUCAGAUACUUUCCACAAGAUGAAGGAUCAGCUAAGCGUGCUGCAAUGCUUGGUGUGUCAGGGCUGUAUUAGGAACACACCACACGGGCACCAAAUGGCCUUUGCAUGAAAGAAAACACAGGAGAGUUCUUUCGUCGUAAUUACUAACAGGGAAGAAAUUGCCUUGCUAAAGGCAAAGUGCCUAAUGAUACCGCACCUCACUGGUUCAACCUGCACUGGAAGCAAUAGCUAAGCCAAAACUCCGCAUACCUUGAAGUAAACUUCUUUUUGAGGGGUUUAACCCAAGCUCAAGAGGCAAAGUGGCUCUUCCUGACCCAUAGGCACUCCCAAUGCUUCGAGAUGUAACGUGGUUCUUCUCUUGAAGGCUCCAGAGUCGCUGAGGCAUCACGCUGGCAAAGACCACCUCCUUACUACUAUUAUUUGGUCUCCUCAGAGACUAAGUGCGUGCAUUAAGCAAAGCAAAGUUAGGUUGAAUUCUGCUGCCUGGGCCUUGGGCUCGGCAAUCACUGCGUAUGGGAUGGGGCCUUGGGUUCAGCAGUGUUGCCUCUCUCUGUGUUUGGCUACAAACAGGCAACCACCACCUGUCUUUUCAUAGGGCUGCUUUUCUGCUAACACCUUCAAAUCCUGAUGAGCUUCUCAAGACCUUUCCAGCUCUGCUGGCCUCACGUUGGGCUGUCUGUGCCCAGCUCAGGUGGUGGCUGCUCCAGGAUUUGCAUGCAGUUUUGGUUAAGUAUGAUAUUGCUUCUUCUCCAAAAAUCCCCCAUCUGCCCUAAGUCACCAACAGGUGUCCCAGCCAGGUACGUGCUCUUUGCUUUCCCCUUUCCCUCCACCAGCCUUGCCUCGGAUCCAAGGGCAGGGAGACACAAGGCAGGUCCAGCGGCGAGCUGAUCCGCAUCAACAAGGACUCCAGACAUCUUUGCUGGGUUCCAGCCCCAAGCCUUGGCCUCAACUCUGCUGCCAAUGUUAACAGUUCUGAUACACACAUCUCUAUAUCUCUGUGGAGAGAUGGGGGUUUAUUUGUUUGAGUAUUUUUAGGUAACUUCCCACAGUUGGGCCCUCAUCAGGAUGCCUCAGUCUUUCCAUUUUCCAAAAAUCCCAACUUUUGCUCAUUUUUCAUUCUCCCUCCCCCCAGCCUCCUUCCCAGGCACUGAGUCAUCAUGGCUUAUUAUUAGCACUGGUGCUGAAGUUCUCUGUCAUUUUUUCUCUUCCCAAAACAGCCAGCAAUUUUUGACCCCACCUCUGCACUGUGGAUGGCUUUCGGACAUCCUUUGGAUCCGCUG